AUACGGAGGAUGCGAGCUUUAUCCGGAUUUAUUGGGUUUAAAGGGAGCGUAGGUGGGAUAUUAAGUCAGCUGUGAAAGUUUGGGGCUCAACCUUAAAAUUGCAGUUGAUACUGGUUUCCUUGAGUACGGGACAGGUGGGCGGAAUUCGUGGUGUAGCGGUGAAAUGCUUAGAUAUCACGAAGAACUCCGAUUGCGAAGGCAGCUCACUGGACUGCAACUGACACUGACGCUCGAAAGUGUGGGUAUCAAACAGGAUUAGAUACCCUGGUAGUCCACACAGUAAACGAUGAAUACUCGCUGUUUGCGAUAUACAGUAAGCGGCCAAGCGAAAGCAUUAAGUAUUCCACCUGGGGAGUACGCCGGCAACGGUGAAACUCAAAGGAAUUGACGGGG
rnacentral:rRNA from 1 species